CCAGUAUGGUGGAUUUGACACUCGACUUAUAAUCGAGUGGACUCGGGUUCGAAUCCCGGAAAAGGGA